rnacentral:lncRNA from 1 species
GUCUCCAUCUCUGCCCUCUGGAAUAGAAGGGCGUUACUUUCUUGUCUUCAGACCCCAACUCAGAGAAGAUACGUCAAGUCUGAACUGAGCUCGACGAUUUGCAAGGAGAACCGAGGCUUGGAAAUUUGAAGAAAACUCCCACUCCAGCUAGCAUUUUCAUCUUUGGAAAUACAGGUACUCUAAGUCCAGUCAAGUUUACUUAGAGCCUACUAGUUAAAUGUCUGGCUUUACCUGUUAAUAGUUGUAGACUCUAAAGAAACAAAGUUACUUGGCCAUGCUGGGCCUCACCCACAUUUUAUUUCAUCUCAACAUACCAAGCCUGGUCAGAGUGCCAACUGGGGCUCAGGCCAGGGUGAGGCGGCAGAGUCCUUAGG